rnacentral:rRNA from 1 species
UACGGAGGAUGCAAGCGUUGUCCGGAUUCAUUGGGUUUAAAGGGUGCGUAGGCGGAAGAUUAAGUCAGUGGUGAAAACUUGCAGCUUAACUGUAAAAAUGCCAUUGAAACUGAUUUUCUUGAGUUCGAUUGAGGUAAAUGGAAUGUAUCAUGUAGCGGUGAAAUGCUUAGAUAUGAUACAGAACACCAAUUGCGAAGGCAGUUUACUAAGUCGAUACUGACGCUGAGGCACGAAAGCAUGGGGAGCAAAC